AGCGAACGCUGGCGGCGUGCUUAACACAUGCAAGUCGAACGAUGAAGGAGGAGCUUGCUCCUCUGGAUUAGUGGCGAACGGGUGAGUAACACGUGAGCAAUCUGCCCUUGACUCUGGGAUAAGCGCUGGAAACGGCGUCUAAUACCGGAUACGACCCUCGGAGGCAUCUCCUGUGGGUGGAAAGAACUUCGGUCAAGGAUGAGCUCGCGGCCUAUCAGCUUGUUGGUGAGGUAAUGGCUCACCAAGGCGACGACGGGUAGCCGGCCUGAGAGGGGGAACGGCCACACUGGGAAUGAGACACGGCCCAGACUCCUACGGGAGGCAGCAGUGGGGAAUAUUGCACAAUGGGCGCAAGCCUGAUGCAGCAACGCCGCGUGAGGGACGACGGCCUUCGGGUUGUAAACCUCUUUUAGCAGGGAAGAAGCGAGAGUGACGGUACCUGCAGAAAAAGCACCGGCUAACUACGUGCCAGCAGCCGCCGUAAAAC
rnacentral:rRNA from 1 species